rnacentral:sRNA from 2 species
GGCUCCAUAGCUUUGUCCUCGUCAUCUCUCUCUCUCACUCACCCACACGCACACACACAUAUAUAUAUAUAUAUACAAUAUUGAAGAGAACUGACGGCAGAGGCUAGUCUUGAACAUUGCUCCGGAAACAUUCGAGAAGAUCAGUAGCUAUCUUUCCUACCCCAGUCAGCUCGGACGUUCUGCUCAGAUUCGCCGAUCUGAUAUGAAGAUCUUGUUGAUCACUCUUUUCAUAGUACGGAUACGUCUGUAUGUAACUAUCGAUGGUCAGAAGGAAGCUCUCGUUUGCUUUCUGUGGACGGGGUUUCUUCAAUGGGUAUGUGUAUUACUGAUUCAUUCUUUUUCCUUGGGGUAAAUAAAUACUCCUUCUGAUUGACUGAAUUGCAAUCCAGCAUCCAAUCGACAGAGCGCGCGGCACGUAUGCUUUGGCUGAAUCCCGGUAAAAGUUCUCAACCUGUAUAUAUAUCUCUAGCCCAGUCCAAGUCUCCCCGUUGUAUAUAUAUAAAAUUUACUGCCAGG